GACCGGCUAAGAGAGCGGUUGAAGGAUAUUUCCUGCUUGGAACUGAAUCUGCAUAUGCUGCUGCCUGGAAGAUUCUGGAUGAAAGAUAUGGAAAUCCAUUCACAAUCGCGAAAGCCUUUAGAGACAAACUGCAUGCAUGGCCCAAAAUUACCUCAAGAGACAGUUUCGAACUAAGAGACUUUGCAGAUUUCUUGCGCAGUUGUGAAGCUGCUACAGCUCACAUCAAGUCAUUAGAGAUCUUGAAUGACUGCAAUGAGAACCAAAAGAUACUUUCCAAACUUCCAGACUGGCUUGCUGCUAGUUGGAACCGCAAAGUUAUUGAAAUUGAAGAACAAACAAAUCAGUUUCCCACUUUCAGCCAGUUUGUUGAGUUUUUAUCGAGAGAAGCCAAGAUAGCCUGUAAUCCUGUUACAUCUUUACAGUCACUUAAACAAUGUGAGCCUAACAAAGACAAACCGAAGCUUACAAAACAGAAAGAAAUUGGAGUUAAAACCCUGAUGACGACUUCACAAGAAAAGAUACAACUGGUAUGUGUAUUCUGUAAGAAAUCUAAGCACAGUUUACACAAAUGCAGAAGUUUUCUGGAAAAGGCUGUGUCAGACAGAGUCAGCUUUAUUAAGUUAGAAAGGCUAUGUUUUGGUUGUCUCAAACCAGGCCAUCAUUCGAAGAGCUGUACCAACCGCAAUAUUUGUGAAAGGUGCAGUAAAGGGCAUCCGACUUGUCUUCAUGAAGAUAGAGUUAAGGACAAAGGAGAACAAAGGCAACCAAUAGCUAAUCCAAAUCCAAGCAACGAAAGGUCAAGUCAAAGCGACCGAGUUCAAGAACAAGUUACAGCCAUGGCUACGACUAACCGAGUUGCAAGUCAAGAAAAUAACACACAGACAGCUGCAAUCAUUCCUGUGUGGCUUUCAUCUUCCACAAAACACAAAGAAGUUCUUGUGUAUGCCUUACUGGAUUCGCAAAGCGAUACAACCUUUGUUCUCAGUGAAGUUGCAAAGUUACUAGAGACAAACCAAGAACCUGUUAAACUAGAGCUGUCUACUAUGUCUUCCCAGACUACAGUUGUUCAGUCCGACAGACUUCAAAAUCUUCAAGUUCGUGGCCUUUACUCAAGCAAAAGAAUCACUUUACCUCCUACAUACACACGAGAAUUCAUUCCAGCUAACAAAGCUCACAUUCCAACUAAUGAAACAGCCAAAGCUUGGCCACAUCUGGAACACCUUCAAUCAGAAAUCGCACCUUUGCAAGAUUGCGAGGUAGGAUUGUUGAUCGGAUACAACUGCUCACAAGCUCUUCUGCCGAGAGAGAUUGUGUCAGGCAAGGAAGGCGAGCCAUACGCUCAGCGCACCGAUCUUGGUUGGAGUAUAGUUGGACAAACCAAUCACUGCCUGAACUAUGGAGAUGCAAUUGGAAUUAGUCAUCGCAUUAUUGUCAAGAAAGUCAUCCCAGAGCUUAAGCCUUCUCUAAAGCUUCAGAACAAAGUCCACUAUGUCAAUAGGACAACAGUAAAGGACAUCACCCCUUCGGACAUUAUCAAAGCACUUGAAGGAGACUUCUCUGAAAGAGCCAUUGAGGGCAACCCUGUAUCACAAGAAGAUUUAAAGUUUCUCACAAAACUCAAAGAAAACAUCACACAAAAUGAGAGCGGCCACUAUGAGAUGCCACUACCGUUUCGUGACGAAAGACCCAAAUUACCAGACAAUAGAAUAUGUGCAAUGCAUCGCCUAAAGUGUCUUGAACGGAGAUUAAGGAAAGACAAAUCAUAUUACAAUGAUUACACAAACUUCAUGGAUGACAUCAUCUCAAGAGGAGAUGCUGAAAGAGUCCCUGACAAAGAGUUGAAUAACACUCCUGCAUGGUAUAUCCCACAUCAUGGGGUUUAUCACCCACACAAACCCGGAAGAAUCAGAGUAGUAUUUGAUGCCUCGGCCAAGUACCAGGAUACUUCUCUCAAUGACCACCUCUUAACCGGUCCUGACCUGACAAACGCAUUGGUUGGUGUUCUUUGUCGUUUCCGCAGAAAUUCUGUCGCAUUCAUGUGUGAUAUAGAGCGGAUGUUUCACCAGUUCCAUGUCACAAAAGAAGACCAGGAUUACUUAAGGUUUCUUUGGUGGGAGAAGGGAGAUUUGGAAGCAUCACCAUCAGUUUACCGUAUGAAGGUCCAUCUUUUUGGAGCAGCGUCUUCUCCAGGCUGUGCCAACUUUGGCCUGAAACACCUUGCUGCCCAAGGACAAGCAGAUUCUUCAGCAAAUGUGCAAGGAUAAGGUUGGGUGGGACCACGAGCUUCCAGAGCACUUAAAACCCCAGUGGGAAUCCUGGAUUAAAGACCUUCCAAGUUUAGCUAACAUGCAGAUUCAAAGAUGCUUCAUUCCUACAGAUUUCGGUCAGGUUAAAAGCUACGAGCUUCAUCACUUCGCAGAUGCCAGUGUCAAUGGAUAUGGUGCUUGUACUUACCUGCGAGCCAUUAACCAAUCAGAUCAAGUCCAUUGUUGCUUGGUAAUGGCCAAGUCAAGAGUCACACCUACUAGUGUCACAACUAUCCCUCGACUCGAACUCUCAGCAGCAGUUGUUUCAGUUAGAGUCAGUGAUCUACUCAGGACAGAACUUGAAAUCCCAUACGUUGCUGAGUUUUUCUGGACCGACUCCACCGUUGUUCUCGGCUACAUAAAUAAUGAUGCCAAAAGGUUUCAAGUCUUCGUAGCGAAUCGGAUACAAAGGAUCAAGUCAAGCACAAAGCCAGAACAAUGGGCGUAUGUCGCAUCAGAGCAGAACCCUGCAGACUACGUUUCUCGAGGCUUAACCGCAGAACAACUGAAGUCCUCUGAAUGGUUUGAGGGGCCAGCAUUUCUCUGGGAGAAGAACAUUCCUGAUAGAGAUGUUAAGGUGGGAGAGAUCAGGGAAAAUGAUCCAGAACUUCGCAAAGCCUCUGUGUAUACCAUCAAUGCAAAGGAAGAGCAAACUAUUUUCAGCAGAUUUGAGAAGUUU
ensembl:lncRNA